UGUAUCAGGAUGCAGACAACAGGCUAUCUUAAGCCUCCAGCUUCAACAUUACUACUACCAUUGAAAAGAAAAUUAUACGAAUUCUAGGUUUAUAAAUAUAAAAAUUAAAAAAAUAAACCCCAAAAGGCCACAGACCCAGGGCUAAGCCCUGCAGCCAAGACUAGCAGGCCAUAAAGAUAAAGGAGCACAGGAAACACUGUUCAGGCAGGACUGACAAGCCAUAAAGAAAAGGAAUGCAGGAACCAGCCUGAGUUAAUGGGACUGAUUCAUGGGACGUCUGGCAGGAAGACAUCUCCCCCCAGCUCACUCAGGGCCAUCCUCCAGACCCUGAUAAGCCCCUGACUUCUAACACGUACUCUUUCUGCUUUGUUCUCACUGCUAUGUUUGAAUGAGCCAAUUGUAUGUAACCACGCCAAAACCCCCUAGCCUUCUCUAUAUAACCCUCUGACUUUUGAGUUUCGGGGCCGACACCUCUGUCUCCUGCGCGGGAUACGUGUCGGCCCGGAGAUCUCUGUAAUAGGUCUCCGUAAUAAACCUCGCCUUUGCUUAUUACAUCCAAAAUGGUCUCUCUGUGUCUGGGGUCCGUGAUUUUCCCAAGACUUGAGUAAGGGUCUCUCUGCGUGGGAUCUUUCAUAAUAAUGGGGGCUCGUCCGGGAUCUGCGCGACUACCCCAGACUCCGAAGACCCCUUGGAGGUGAGUUGGAUGUUUGUCUGAGUGUUUCUGUGUGAGCGGCGCCGCAUUUGUCAGUCUGUGUCUGUCUCUGUUUUGGUUCCGCCGUGUGUGUGUAUAUGUGUGUCUUAGUACUGGUCAGUGUUAAGAGGGUGGAUGGGUAUUCCUGCCCUGUGGUAAGAGGGCAGAUGGGUAUUCCUGCCCUGUGGUAAGAGGGUGGAUGUGUAUUCCUGCCCUGUAGGAGAGUGGAUGUGUAUCCCCACUCAGUGCAGCUGCCUUUGUGGUCCGUGAGGACCCCCUGGCUGCGGAAGGGGGGACGCCCCGGGCCCGCAAGGCUGCAGCCCCUGGAAGACGUUCCACGGGCGGAGAACAGUCGGGAGAGCCCGGCUAUGGACAGUCAGGAGGACCUGACUCUGGUUUUCUGGAACAAAGGAGAUGGAAUGCUCCUUUUACCUAGGCGGGAGUGGACGAGGAAUCCCACUCCGUCAGAGGUCGAGUUCGGCUGCCUAUUUAAAUAUAGGCACGGACAAGUGUGCUUAGUCGUUAGGACAAGAGGACACUCUGGAAUCCUGUUGGGAGGUGGAAUCAGAUGGUCCAUCUCAUCCCAAAAGCAGCUAAGGUUAAGCUGCAGUUUGGGCCACGUACUGAAGGUACCAGGCAUCUGUGAAAGUUGGUUAUAAGAUGCUUUGUCUUGAUAUUGUUUGUCUGGCUUGUUUUCUGUGGUAUUGUCGAGUGUCUUUUUGGCUUUUGUUUCGUUUUUGAAUUUUGGACUGACGACUGUGUUUGAAUUUGGACUGAUGACUGUGUUUAAAAUCUUGGACUGACGACUGUGUUUGAAAUCAUGAAACUGUUUGCUUUGUUCGUCAUAGAGUUUUACUUGGUCCUCUUGGUGCUUAAGUUAAGAGUUAAAAAUAAUUUGCUUGAGAAAAAUUGUUUUCUGCCAGGGAGUUUUGUCUUUCUCUCUUGAGCCUCCUCCCCAAGGAGAGAGACCCCUCCCUUUACUCCCCUUGAUCAGCCUAGCUGCUGUUAACAGUUGUGUAAACAGACAUUAACAAAAACCUUGAGGACAAAACCGCUCAUAAAUAAAAAAGUUCCCCAGAUUAGGCCUCCGGUAUGAAACAAGUAUAGUGAGUAAGAAACUUAAUUUUAUGGACCCCGCUCUAGUGGCGGUGUGUUGGUUGAUAGCCAACGUUAAUUUUUUAAAACAUAGUGUUUUAUCUGUGCUUGUGCUCGCAACACACAGUAGGGGGGAGCGAAAUUAGCUGCGGAGCUGCUACAGCGAACAUGGGGACUUCUCAAGUCUCACCCAAUUUUUCUGGCUCUUCAGGAGCUGUUUAAAAGAAAAAGGCUUAAGGUAAAAAGAAACACUAUAGAGAGAUUUCGUAGUGUAUUACUACACCUUGGUUCUCGAUCUCUGGGAAUCUCACGAUGGACAGCUGAGAUAAGCUAAAAAAGGAUUUAAAUUUUGCUUGAGAGCAAGGAAUCUUAAAGGCGGAGUUUCAGCCGGUUUGACACUUAGUGCGUAGCUGCCUAAAAGAUCAGAAAUGCUGUCAACAGUCUAUAAAAAAGGGACAGGCUGUGUUAAAAAUGCUACAUAAAGAAUAAUCUAAAAAGGCUGAGAGUGAGGUGGGAGAGGACUCUAAGAAAAACAAGAACAAGAAAAGAAUUUCUGCUUUUAGUGGCCAGACCUUCAACUCUUGCUCACAGAAAGAGAGUGCUCAUUAGAAGUUCUUUAAGGAGCCUGCCUUAUCUGCUGGCCCUAUUCCAAGAGAGGAGCCAGUCUCCAGCAUUAAAUUACUUUUCUCACUGGUCAUCAUUAGCAUGGAGAAUGCCUUUGAUCUUAUCCCCACAGCAGCCAGUUCCUGCCCCUGUGGUCGAAAUGUCCCAGGUUGGGGGGCAGAGAAGCCCCUAAAAUAGUUUCAAAGAAUCUACAACAAACUGUAAAGAACUUUGUUUUGUUUUGCCAGUCAAGAUUUAGAAUUCAGACUUUGGCUGUGGCCAAGGUCAGGAUUAAUGUUUUCUUUUCCAUGGGCCUUUAGCCCACUGAGAAAGUUUGGUAAAGGGCUGCUACUGAGGUCCUGAAAGCCCCAGGUGAACUGUUUACAAUUCUUUUGUCAGCUGCUUAGAAUCUAACACUCAGGUUCUAACCGUCUCUCCAUCCUUUUGUUAUUAGUUCUUACUGAAAGCCUAGUGCCAUUUAGAGGAUGGGUCUCUUGAGUGAUAAAGCCACUGAGCUGGCACUAAAGGAAGGUACUCCUUAAGGGAAAAUCUAAGUCCAGAGAGACAACCAGUAACAGAUAGACUGCCCCUCUGCUCACUUUUCUGUUUCACAGACACAAGGUCUUUUUGUCCCAAGAAAGCCUCCUGGCUUAGCUGUGUGACUAAAUGCUAUUUGCCCUCUUCAGUGGACCUCUAUUCUCAAGAUUCUCUUGUUUUCUCACCAUCCCAUUUGAGAUGCUUGUUAGUAACUGUUACAGGUCUUCUUUACCACCGAGGAAAGACAAAAUCCUACUAGAGGCCAGAAAAAGUGUUCCAGAGAUGGAUGGAAGGCCCUCACUUCUGCCUGCUCUUUUCAGACGCCUAAAGAUACUUUUUCAGGAAUAGAUAGAAGCUUUCCUCACCAAACGAGAGACGGCCUCUACAAUCAUCAAGAAGAUACUAGAAGAAAUCUUCCCCAGGUCUAGAAUGCCCAAGGUAAUCUGGUCAGACAACGGCCCUACUUUCGUUGCCAAGGUAAGCCAGGGUGUGGCCAAGUAUUUAGAGGUCAAUUAGAAAUUACAUUAUAUUUACAGACCUCAAAGUUCAGGACAGGUAGAGUAAAUAAAUAAAAUUUUAAAAGAGACCCUGAACAAAUUGACCAUAGAGACUGGCACAGAUUGGGUGACACUCCUUCCCUCUUGCUCUCUUCAGAGCAAAAAAUACCCCUUCCAGAUUCAGCCUUACCCCCUUUGAGAUCUUAUAUGGGGCCUCAGCUCCCCUGACUGUAUUAGAUGAUGUUACUGAACCAACUUGUCAUAGUGCCAUAGUAAUAAUGAUUUGUGUGCCAGGCUAAAAGACCUACAGGUGAUACAGAAAGAAAUCUGCUCACAGCUGACAGCAGCCUAUGCCCCGAAGACCCCUGAGACAUCCCAUCAGUUCCAGGCCGGAAGCAGCUACACUGAGCCCAGACACUCGAGCCUCGCUGGAAAGGACCGUACCUGGUGCUGCUGACCACCCUGACAGCCGUCAAUUCUCAGCCCUCACCAGCCGUGUACUUACUAGCUGUUAGGGCUGAGAGCUGGGACCUAGAGGGAAAUUCAGUCAUGUUUGUCCUGGGUUCCAUCGAGAUAGGUGUGGGAUAGGCUUGAUUUCUAUUACAAAUGAUAUAACAUUACAUAUGUUAAUACUCCUAACACUUCUUGGGACUGUGCCUCAGGGAUCACAAUCUAUAUAAGUUUAGAAGUUCUAAAAGCUAGUCAUGACCUUGGUGUAUAGGUUUUGAUAGUGUCCAGAUUAGAAUCCUAAUGCUAAAGACUUAGUAAGACACACACACACACAAAAAAAAAAAGAGUUGAGAAUUACUUAGGGCUAGGGCUAUCUAGGUGCUACAAGGGCAGCACAAGGACAUCUGCUGUUGCCCUACAAUACAAGGCUUAUAGAGAAUUCAGAACUGCCAUUGACUCAGAUAUAAAAAGAGUAAAAGACUUUUUAGCUGACCUCCAAGAAUACCUAACUUCCCUCUCAGAGGUAGUCCUUCAAAAUAAAAAAAGAUCAGACCUGAUAUUCCUUAAAGAAGGAAUCUGUGUGCUACACUGAAAGAAAAAUGUUGCUUCUAUACAGACCAUUCAGGAGUAAUUAAAGACUCCAUAAAUAAACUUAAAAAAAGGUUAGACAAAAGACAGACAGACAGAAAAACACAUCAGAGAUAGUUCGAGAGCUAGUUUAGUAGAUCUCCCUGGAUGACUACCCUACUCUCUGCUACAGCUGGGCCAUUAUUAAUAAUUUUCUUGGUUUUAGUUUUUGGCUCCUGCGUGACAAACAGGUUAAUUGCUUUUGUUAAAAAUUGAGUGGGUGCUGUGCGGUUGAUGGUCCUGAGACAACAGUACCAGUCAGUUAGGACAACUGGUGAGACCAAAUAAGACUUGAUAUCAAAAUUCUAAGAUUAGAAUUAUUUAGUAGGAGAAGACGGGAAUGAAAAGAAAAUUAUACGAAUUCUAGGUUUAUAAAUAUAAAAAUUAAAAAAAUAAACCCCAAAAGGCCACAGACCCAGGGCUAAGCCCUGCAGCCAAGACUAGCAGGCCAUAAAGAUAAAGGAGCACAGGAAACACUGUUCAGGCAGGACUGACAAGCCAUAAAGAAAAGGAAUGCAGGAACCAGCCUGAGUUAAUGGGACUGAUUCAUGGGACGUCUGGCAGGAAGACAUCUCCCCCCAGCUCACUCAGGGCCAUCCUCCAGACCCUGAUAAGCCCCUGACUUCUAACACGUACUCUUUCUGCUUUGUUCUCACUGCUAUGUUUGAAUGAGCCAAUUGUAUGUAACCACGCCAAAACAACCUAGCCUUCUCUAUAUAACCCUCUGACUUUUGAGUUUCGGGGCCGACACCUCUGUCUCCUGCGCGGGAUACGUGUCGGCCCGGAGAUCUCUGUAAUAGGUCUCCGUAAUAAACCUCGCCUUUGCUUAUUACAUCCAAAA